AGUGAACGCUGGCGGUAGGCCUAACACAUGCAAGUCGAACGGCAGCACAGUAAGAGCUUGCUCUUACGGGUGGCGAGUGGCGGACGGGUGAGGAAUACAUCGGAAUCUACUUUUUCGUGGGGGAUAACGUAGGGAAACUUACGCUAAUACCGCAUACGACCUACGGGUGAAAGCAGGGGAUCUUCGGACCUUGCGCGAUUGCAUGAGCCGAUGUCGGAUUAGCUAGUUGGCGGGGUAAAGGCCCACCAAGGCGACGAUCCGUAGCUGGUCUGAGAGGAUGAUCAGCCACACUGGAACUGGGACACGGUCCAGACUCCUACGGGAGGCAGCAGUGGGGAAUAUUGGACAAUGGGCGCAAGCCUGAUCCAGCCAUACCGCGUGGGUGAAGAAGGCCUUCGGGUUGUAAAGCCCUUUUGUUGGGGAAGAAAAGCAGCAGGUUAAUACCCCGCUGUUCUGACGGUACCCAAAGAAUAAGCACCGGCUAACUUCGCG
rnacentral:rRNA from 1 species